GUAAAUGAAGGAGAUUCAACCAACAUCACGUGUUCUACUAACAGUAACCCUGUAGCCUUGAUUACCUGGCACAAUGGUACAACUAACAUAUCCCCUAAACAAACCAACAGUAAUACCUUUACUAUAAAACAACCUACAUGUCUGGAUACUGGUGACUAUACUUGCCACGCUACCAAUAGUGAAAUACCAAAUGUUAAAUACAACCAAACAUUGAAAGUAUUUAUUAACUGUUCACCUAGACAAGAUACUAGAAUUAUAACAACAUCUAUAGUUAGUGGUAAUAUAACAGAUAUAGUACAACUGGUAGCUGAUGUUAUAUCCUAUCCACCACCAACCGUCACCUGGUAUUAUAAUAAUAAAACUACUGGAGAUAUUGAACCUAUCUAUAACGACGACAUCUUUGAAUAUAUUGAUAACCAUACUUCUAUCAACACUUAUAGAUCAACAUUAAAUAUCAACAUUACAUCCAACAUUUAUUAUACAUCAUAUACAGUCAAUGUAUCUAAUAAUAUUGGUUAUACAGAACUAGAGUAUGAAGUUGUAGCUCAAUUUUCAGCUAAACCUGAUGUACCGUUUAAUACCAACUCAUCAGCGACACGUCAUGACAGUAUCUGUAUUACAUGGACACCAGGAUUUGAUGGUGGAGAUCAACAGGAAUUUAUUGUUGAACAUUCAGUAGAUAAUAAAACCUGGACUAGUUCUACACCUCUACCAGAAUCUAAACCUGAUUAUUGUAUAGAGAAUCUACAAGCUGAUACACCAUAUUAUAUUAGAGUUAUAGCUAGAAAUAAUUAUGGUGAUAGUCAACCAGUUUAUCUGAUAUCACCCGAUGGCUCUUCUACAAUACGCACUUUAAAGAUAGUAGACUCACCAGGACCAGGAUCUAACUGGGGAUUAAUAGGUGGAAUUAUUGGAGGAGUUGUGGCAGCCAUUCUGGUUAUUGUAGUUGUGGUUGUCCUUAUCAAAAGACACAGAAAACAAAAUGACGAUACAGAAAACAGACACAACGUGCCCCUGGUAGAAGUUCCAAGUAGACAGCCAGGGAGAAUGAUAAUAGAGGAGGUGGUGAACUACAUCAGUGCUGAUGAAAUUAAGAAAGAUGAAACUGCAAACUAUGCACAAGUAAACAAAGACAAUAAACCAACAGAAAUAAAACCGAAUCCAGAAUCUCUUUAUGCAACUGUAAAUAAAACUAAGAACGAUGAAACAACGGAGUCUACCAAACCUGAUGUCAAACCUAAACCACAUGAUAGCAAACCGAACAAAACGGAUACCAAACCGAAAACAACUGAUGUCAAACCUAAAAUAACAAAUACCAAACCUAAAGUACGGAAUGUUAAAAACAAACAGCCAACAAACGACAAAUCAAAAGGAGAGGCUUAUGAAAAUGUGGGUAUAUUUGGUGACAUCAAUGGUAUUAAUACAAAUGAAUAUGAAAACCAUUCAAUUAAGCCUGGUCCUACCGAAACGGUUUAUGCCGAUCUAGAUUUUGAUGGCCACCAACCAACUACAACCAUACGAGGUCAGGACGAUGUUGUAGAAUACAGUGGUAUUGAUUAUACUAAACGUGGACCACCUCAACAAACACCACCAAAUAGUAGUGAUGAGGAAUCAGACAAUCGAGAGUAAGCAACAUUGUUAGCACACCACUCCAAUAGUAAUAGGAAUAAUACAAUAUUUUGAAUAAUAAUUCUCUUUUUGAUCUAGUUUCUGUGACAACCGAUGUUGAAAUAAGUUUGCAUUAAACAUUUCGCUUGAUUAUAUGAGUAUAUAUAGUUAAUUAUUUAACAUAAUAUCGAUAAGUAGAUAUUGUAGUUUAUUUUGUUAUGAAAUGUAAUAUAAAUAUAAAUGUAAAGUGCAAACAGUGUUUUAUAUUCUAAGUUGUUAAGCAAGUAAUAUUACAACAUUGAACAUUUGAAAAACGGCAAUAUUGCUACAUUAAAGAGGUAUUAUUUAAGAUUUAGGUAAAGAGUUGACCGUUCUCGUUAUAAUAGUUCAAAAAUAUAUAAUGGAAAAUGAAUAUAUUGAAAAUCUCAUUCAAAUUACUUUAUUCGGAGUAGUUUAUUGUUGAUUGUUUAUUGUCGUAACCACGGUACUGGUAUAUUCGAGGCCUAACCUCGCUUCUCCAUUUUUAAAUUAUUUCAUUAAAUCGCCGAACAGUUCUAAUCUAAUUUUAAGGAAAUACAUUUUAACCCUUUAAAAUAGGACAACUAGCCCAAAUUGACGACAGUUUAUCCAAUUGGUCUUCAUUCUCUGUCACAUCGAUUGAUUCACUAGUUGUAGGUUAAGUAUUGCUUUAAAAUACAAGUUACGUCCUAUCCCUAUGAGUAGAUGGUAAAGAAUUCGGAUAUCACAAAUCAUAUUAAUGAUUAUUAAGUUGCAUCUUCCUGUAAUAUCAUUUGUUUAUAAACGCAACGAGGAGAAAAAUAUGUGUUAUUAUAACCUUUCAUUUUUCUGCCAAACAACAAACAAAAAAAACAAAAAAAAGAAAUAAAAAAAUAGCUUGUUGCAUUUGUAUCAUGUGACUCCAGUUCUAAAAUUUGUCGACACAACAUAUAUUGGAUAUUCAACUAGAUUACAGUUAUUAAUAUAACUUGUAUAGAGCAGUAACAUUCUCAUCACAUGUAUAUGUUUAUGUUUGUUAUCACUGAUAUGUACGGAAGACCAUUAGGGUCAAUCAAAAGAAAAAGUAGGCCGUAGUGCCCCUGUCCGGGCAAAAUUUUCCUCAUAGCACACUGUCCGUCUUCAUUAGCCCAAUCGGAGCAGAACAGUAGGACGUUAAACCCCAUUUCAUUUGGAGCAUGAAAAUAAAGAAUGAUAUUAAUGGGAGCAUGGCAUGAAUGUGCCAAUUUUGUAACAUAAAAUAAAGUACGGCGUUGACCUAGUUAUUCGAUAAAUCAGUUUAUGGCGACCUUGAAAUAAAUUACUCAUGGGCUUCAAUCUUGUAUUUACAAGAUAAUUAGAUUUUUUCAUUUGAUUGACCCCAAUGGGGUUUCGUAGGUAUGUUUAUUUUUUACUGUUGAAAUGUAUAUAGAUUAUUUGUUUAGAUAAUGUACGAUUUGAAACAUAUAAUUAGAGUAUGAUAUAAAAAUAAUACAUGUUUGUUUGAAAUAAAUUAUAACGUUUUGUA